UACGGGGGGGGCAAGCGUUGUUCGGAAUUACUGGGUGUAAAGGGUCAGUAGGCGGUGCGGCAAGUCGGGAGUGAAAUCUCUGGGCUUAACCCAGAGGCUGCUUCCGAAACUGCUGUGCUUGAGUGUGGGAGAGGCGCGUGGAAUUGCAGGUGUAGCGGUGAAAUGCGUAGAUAUCUGCAGGAACACCCGUGGCGAAAGCGGCGCGCUGGACCACAACUGACGCUGAAUGACGAAAGCUAGGGGAGCAAACAGG
rnacentral:rRNA from 1 species